rnacentral:rRNA from 1 species
GUGCACGCUGGCGGUAGGCCUAACCCAUGCCAGUCGAACGGCAGCACAGUAAGAGCUUGCUCUUACGGGUGGCGAGUGGCGGACGGGUGAGGAAUACAUCGGAAUCUACUUUUUCGUGGGGGAUAACGUAGGGAAACUUACGCUAAUACCGCAUACGACCUACGGGUGAAAGCAGGGGAUCUUCGGACCUUGCGCGAUUGAAUGAGCCGAUGUCGGAUUAGCUAGUUGGCGGGGUAAAGGCCCACCAAGGCGACGAUCCGUAGCUGGUCUGAGAGGAUGAUCAGCCACACUGGAACUGAGGCACGGUCCAGACUCCUACGGGAGGCAGCAGUGGGGAAUAUUGGACAAUGGGCGCAAGCCUGAUCCAGCCAUACCGCGUGGGUGAAGAAGGCCUUCGGGUUGUAAAGCCCUUUUGUUGGGAAAGAAAAGCAGCAGGUUAAUACCCCGCUGUUCUGACGGUACCCAAAGAAUAAGCACCGGCUAACUUCGUG